rnacentral:lncRNA from 1 species
CCCUCCUCCUGGCCGUGACCCAGGACCGGCCUGGGGCCCAGCACGAUGUGAAGGCACUGGGGACCUGUGCCAGGCCCUGGGCUUCGAGACCACCCUGAAGACAGACCCUACAGCCCAGCUUCUCCAGGGGGACCAGAGAACCAGCUGCAGGAGGCUGGACCCACGUCACCUCCAAUGAGGCCAUGCAACCAGAAGGGCACAGGGACGCACACUCUCCCCUGGUUGUGGCUCUGGCUGCAGGCACCACCAGCCACCCCCUCCCCCGGCCGAUGUCCUCCACAUCUAUGCUGAUGUGCAAGGCAGCUUCUCCGGGGGCCCCACUCCAGGGAGCCCUAACCAAGCAGACAUCUUGAUGGUCUAUGCAGCCACUGAAGGCCUGACUGAGCCCGCGGCUACCAAGGGGAUGCUGACUGUGGGUGGCCACACACCAACGCCAUCCCUGACCCCAUCCGCUCCUCGGUUUCCUCAUCUAAAAGCGGCGCGAUAGCACGGGAGGCUCAGCCGCCAUGGAAUAAACAUGAUGAUCGCUGUACACGUGAAUAGCGCCUGCACGCAGGGAGCUGUGACACUAAGUGAGAUAAUGUAUGCAGAGUGCCUGGCACUUCAGAGGCUGGGCCCACCGGGUGAGGAGGGGGAGCAGGGGAGGCGCCAGGGCAGCCUCCGGCUCUA